rnacentral:rRNA from 1 species
UUGAAAGGGAAACGAUUGAAGUCAGUCGUGCUGGCGCGAAAUCAACCUUCUCGUCGAGAGAUCACAUGGCGUGGCGAGCCUCAAAACCGUCGCGUGGCGCGAACUCUUGGUGAAAUGGAGCACUUUCGUGUCCGCUGGUUAACAUCAAUUUCGAUCGUCAUAAAAAGGCUGGAGGGAUGUGGCUCCUUCGGGAGUGUUAUAACCUUUAGCGGAAUGUGGUGAUCGGGAUUGAGGAUUGCAACGAAUACCCUUAGGGCUGUUCCACCUGGCUUCUCUUUGGCAUCCUGGUGACGACAGCUUGCUGACGUCGUUAGGGAUUCGCCUUUGAACAGGUUAGAGUGUGAGCAAAUUCGUUAAGGAUGUUGACGUA